rnacentral:misc_RNA from 1 species
UUUCCGUAGGUGAACCUGCGGAAGGAUCAUUAAAAAUGAAGCCGGGAAACCGGUCCUUCUAACCCUUGAUUAUCUUAAUUUGUCGCUUUGGUGGGCCGCGCAACACCGGCUUCGGCUGGAUCGUGCCCGCCAGAGGACACAACUCUGUAUCAAAUGUCGUCUGAGUACUAUAAAAUAGUUAAAACUUUCAACAACGGAUCUCUUGGUUCUG